rnacentral:tRNA from 1 species
UUAGCUGAAACCAAAAAGAGGUAUAUCACUGUUAAUGAUAAAAUUGAAUAGUAGUUCCAGCUAAG